UACGGGGGGGGUAAGCGUUGUUCGGAUUUACUGGGCGUAAAGGGCGCGUAGGCGGCCUGCUAAGUCGAACGUGAAAUCCCCGGGCUCAACCCGGGAACUGCGUCCGAUACUGGCAGGCUUGAAUUCGGGAGAGGGAUGCGGAAUUCCAGGUGUAGCGGUGAAAUGCGUAGAUAUCUGGAGGAACACCGGUGGCGAAGGCGGCAUCCUGGACCGAAAUUGACGCUGAGGCGCGAAAGCCAGGGGAGCAAACGGG
rnacentral:rRNA from 1 species